AACAGUAGAAAUAACAAAUGAAGUAUCUUAUUAAUUCAGUCUCGAGCUUGUGACAGCAUAUGGAUGUAAAGAUUCCACAAAGAUUCAUUCAACCAUUUUUCUUGGAGAUUAUCGGAGUUAUCGCCAUACCUCGUCAUAGAUCCGCGAUAUUUUCACGUCGAUAAUACCCUUAGCAUAUUCCUUAUGCCCAUAUAAUUAUUAAGUUACAGUGAAGUUUUUUUUGAGAGUCAUCAGUUUCCUACACCUAUUUAUUAUAUUGUUAAAUAUUUGGGACUGUUGAUAUUUUACCACUAAUUUAAUUACCGUUUUGUUAUUGUACUUGUAUUGUUAGAAACUUAUAAAUUAAUUGUAAGAUGGAGAGAGAAGAGCGGCGCGUCCGGAUGCACCGAUUACUCGCGGAAACUGGUAAUAAUUUCACGCGAUCGGCAAGAAUCUACCGCGAGCGAUUCACGGCGGAUAAACAACCACCAUCAAGGCAAUCCUUCCGAAGACUGGCAGAAACAGAGCGGAAGUUUGGGGUACUGAAACAGCCCCGACAGCAACGCAUCAGACCGGUAUUGGAUGGCCCAGCAAGAGACGCAGUGAAAAAUGCACUUAAGAAAAACGGGAUCCAGAGCAUGAGACAGGUGGCCAGAACACUGCAGGUUCCGCGAGAAUCCAUCAGGAAAAUCGUACAUUUGGAAAACAGCGCAUCAGGUGCCAACUGGCACAAAAUCUCGAUCAAAGGUUACGGUACUGUAACUGGGGAAUACAGCGUCUCAAGGAAGAUGCCGAAUUCUUCCGGAGAGUGUGCUUCACUAAUGAAGUCACCUUCACAAACAUCGUAAUGCUGAUUAAACAAGAGUGUCGUUACUGGACUCCAGGAAGUCCACAUUGGAUUGUGGAGCAGGACGCCCAACACAGUUGGAAGGUCCAGGCCUGGGUUGGACUAUUAGGGGAUAGAAUAAUCGGACCUUAUUUUUUUGAAGGGAAUAUGAAUUCCCAGAAAUAUGCUUACCAACGAACUCCCCCGUUUGUUGCACGGAAAUCCCAUUCCUAUGGACCAGGUUUGGUGGCAGCAAGACGAGGCCCGUGCUCACAACAGCAACGCGAACACAAAGUUCCUGAACGCUAUGUUCCCGGAGCGAUGGAUUGUGACAGGAGGUCCGAUUAGGUGGCCAGCACGCUCACCAGAUCUCACGCCACUUGAUUAUUACUUCUGGGGUAAAGUUCAAAGAAUUGUCUAUGCACAGGCCCCUACCACAAAGCACAAUAUGAGGCACCGUAUCGCCGAUGUGUGCGCUGCAAUUCCCAUCAGGCAGCUGCAACAGGUGCGCAGGUUGAUCCGAAAACGGUUCUCAUUUUCCACCGAGUAAAACGGACGUCACAUGGAGCAACUCUUCAGACAGAAGAACCAGGCCUAAGACCUAUGACGACUGUCCCGUGGAAUGUAGAGGAUGGCAAGGAACGGCUUUUGGUUAACAGUAACAGUAGGCGAGAUCAGGAGUGAAACUUAAGAUUAGAUUCUUAUAUCAAAUCGCUCAUAAUGAUUAAUACAAAAGUAUGAUAGGCGCUUCUUAAUGCAAAUAAAUCUGAGCCUCAACAUUCGUAUUAUGAGAAAAGUAUUACGAAAAUGGAGAAAAGUCAAAUGUCCUAUUGUUUACAUCUGCAUAUGACACUGUCUUCAUUUGUUUCAUUAAUAUUGGAUUUGCUCAUAUCGAAGUAUGCACUCUGCAUUUAUCUAUUUAUGAUGUACGAAUAUCAAAAACAGGUAUUACUGAGAGUUUCAUGGGGUGUAAAGAAGAGCAAGGAAUAACUUUUGGAGGACAGUUACGAUGGAUAAGACCAGAAGUGAAACAUGAGAUAAGAUUCUUUUGACGAAUUGCUCGUUAUGGAUGAUACAAAACUAUGAGGGAUGUCUUUUAUUGCAAAUAAAUAUCAGCCUCACUUCUCAGCAUUUCUAUUAUGAGAGUAAUAUUACGAAAACAGUAAAAAGUUGAGAGUCUUGCCCUUUACUUCUGCGUAUGACGCCGUCUGAAUUUUUCAAUAAUAUUGGAUUUGUUCCUAUCAAAAUAUACAUAUAGUACUCACACAAUUAAAUUCAAUGAUUGAUUUUCAAAAACAGGUGUUGCUAACAGCCUUGUGGUAUGCAAAAGAUAACGAGGACUGGCUUUUGGCGCUGGUUUUGGUGGGUAUCCCGUGAGGUGAAUCCCACACUCCUGGGAGUGACGUUACCCUCCCCAGGGUAGUCUAUAAAAGAUUUCCCCAACAAUUUGGCUAGACGCAAGAAAAAAGAACCGAUAAUAAUAAAUAUCAGCACACAUUGAUAUAGUCUCACAUAUUUCGUCAAUUAAAACGUGAAUGUCGACUUAGCAGACUUGUAAUUUGUAAAAGAUGCACUAUCAUUAAUACGUUCGCGAUUUCAUUAUCCAUUAUAUUUUCAAAAAAUAAUGCAUCAAUUCAAUGUCGUAAACCAGAUAUUGUGUUACUAUAUUGAUAAAACAGCGAGAAGCUCAUAAUUAGAAACGAAGAAAAGCCAUUUCGUUAUUUCACCCCAGUUUUGAAACAGUAGAUUCAACAAUUCAUUGCUGUUUCACAGGUCAACUGAAAACAAAUUGACCUGUAAACAUCAGCACCGAGUAGUGGAAAGAAACCUGUUAGUAAUAUUUUGACGUUAACUUUCACUUUCAAUGCGAAAAUUAAUCUAUUGAAAUUAUUGUCAGGUACAAUUAAGCACAUGGUACGGUCGGUGGAUUGAAAAGGAAAAAAUAGCCUUCUCCUUGAAUAAUUUCGGUUAAUCGACUAACAGUUGCAGUUAAAAAUUUUUUUUAACUUCUAUGACGAUGUUCUGUUCUCCAUUGAAGUCUUCAAUUUCAUUCCUUUCCUUUACACUGUAUCUCAUUGAUGUGUUUAAUGUACUUACUGCCUGUAUCCAGAAUAUCGAGCAUAGCAUAAACUAAUAAGUUUAGGUAACAGCUUCAAUUUUUCACUUCACAAGUACCUAUGAUCUGUGUAACAUUGACGUACCACUUCAGAAAACAAAUGUAUUUUUAAAUAAUA